rnacentral:tRNA from 1 species
GUUUUGGUAGUUUAUAAAAAAUAUUAUAUUGUGGUUAUAAAGUAGAAAUUCUCAAAACA